UACGUAGGGGGCUAGCGUUGUCCGGAAUCACUGGGCGUAAAGAGCGUGUAGGCGGUCCGGCAAGUCCGCUGUGAAAGUCGGGGGCUCAACCCUCGAAUGCCGGUGGAUACUGUCGGGCUAGAGUGCGGAAGAGGCGAGUGGAAUUCCUGGUGUAGCGGUGAAAUGCGCAGAUAUCAGGAGGAACACCUAUUGCGAAGGCAGCUCGCUGGGACGUAACUGACGCUGAGACGCGAAAGCGUGGGGAGCAAACAGG
rnacentral:rRNA from 1 species